UUAUGGAAAGAAAGAAACUAUUUGGUUUAUAAAAGAUCUAUUGUACCGGAACUUCCGGUACGUAAUGAUAACCACUAAACCGCAUGAGGAAACUUAUUAUAUCUCGCCCUAAAUUUCCGAAAAAAAGGAGAACGAAGAAAUCAGAGACAAACAAACCCUAGUUUCCGAGUCAUGCUACCGAGGAAUCUGAGAUCCGUCAUGGCGCACAUAACUCGCGGAGGAGGGAGAACGAUUGUUAUGCCUCGCGCCAAUUUCUGUUCAUCUCCUCCGAUUCCAGCCGAGCCUUUGAUGUUAAUGAUAAUGAGAAAUUUCAAUGUGGGGAAAUUUCAAGGAUGGUUCAUUACGACAUCAUGAAUCUAUUUGAGGAAUCCGAGGCUGAGAGGCGGCUCAGGGUAAUGAAAGAAAAUGAAAUGGUAACUAAUGGUUGUGUUUGAUGCUCCCAUGCAACUAAAAUAAUUGAAUAAAGUAGUAAUGUGUGUUUCUUUUGUGUUUAGUUUUCUGUUUUUGAUGCUGCCAUGUGAACAAAAUAUAUAACUUAUCUAUGGUUGUGAUCAUGUUGCCUUGUUUUUUUGUUUUCUUUCAUUUGUGUUUCUGGAAUUUUGCAGCUUUUUGUUUAUAUUUCCCCUCCCCUCUCUUUGCAAAAAUGUUGUGGAGAA